rnacentral:tRNA from 3 species
CUCUUAUUAGUUUAAAUGGUAAAACAGGAUACUUCUAAUAUCCUCAUUCAAGUUCAAGUCUUGAAUAAGAAU